rnacentral:lncRNA from 1 species
CCCCAGCGGGCGGCGGCAGAGCGGGGAGGAUUGGAGGGGCCAGGGCUGGGGGUGGCACGGGCUCUUGGGCCGCUGGGCUCCUCUGGGCGGGCUCAGGGCUGGAAGGCGCUGCCAGCUGUAGCCAGGCUCAUACUUUUCAAUUUGUUGUCCUUCUUCCACUUCAUGCGCCGGUUCUGGAACCAGAUCUUGAUCUGGCGCUCGGACAGGCAGAGUGCGUGGGCGAUCUCGAUGCGCCGUCGCCGGGUCAGGUUGCUUGUCUGGAGAUGGAGCCACUACAGGCGGGCCUGGGCGCCUGGAGUCGGGCAUGAAAGAAAAUAGCGCCUCAUCGCUCUUAUCUAAGCCCAGAGGUCCAGGGGACAACCUGAGGGCCCUGAAGUGUUUCAAUACCAUGUACCAGCUUGACUUCUCUACAUGUCCUUUGGAUUGCCCAAAAGCAAAAUCUCAGAGGGGCCAAGGACCUUCUAGGGCUGGCUCCCUCAGGGCCUCCUAUAGAGCAGCUCCUUGAGUCGGGCCUUAUAGCCACCAGAAAGUCACCUCGCCGCAGGAAAGCUAUAAAGAGCUGCUCCAGAGGCGCCGAAAGAGGGUAGACUUCGCUUGAAAAGAUCGAGAAUGGAGGAGGGGAUCGGCACUCACUUGCAGACAUCAACAGUUUCCAGAAAAUUCGGUUCAAUUCCUUCACCACGGACCCACCAACCAAGGAGCUGGCAAAACCCACUAACCAACCAGGAGAACACAGACCCGGUUUGUCUUUUGACAACCGAGUGGAACUGACGGGGCCGGCGCCUGCCCUGCGGGUCCCCUCCCUUGGCUGAGAAGAAAACCAAAUAAACCUUGAACAGCC